GGGUUGUGAGGUUAAGCGACUAAGCGUACACGGUGGAUGCCCUGGCAGUCAGAGGCGAUGAAGGACGUGCUAAUCUGCGAUAAGCGUCGGUAAGGUGAUAUGAACCGUUAUAACCGGCGAUUUCCGAAUGGGGAAACCCAGUGUGAUUCGUCACACUAUCAUUAA
rnacentral:rRNA from 1 species